CAUGCAAGUCGAACGAAGCGCUUAAACGGAUUUCUUCGGAUUGAAGUUUUUGCGACUGAGUGGCGGACGGGUGAGUAACGCGUGGGUAACCUGCCUCGUACAGGGGGAUAACAGUUAGAAAUGACUGCUAAUACCGCAUAAGCGCACAGUGCUGCAUGGCACAGUGUGAAAAACUCCGGUGGUAUGAGAUGGACCCGCGUCUGAUUAGCUAGUUGGUGGGGUAACGGCCUACCAAGGCGACGAUCAGUAGCCGGCCUGAGAGGGUGAACGGUCACAUUGGGACUGAGACACGGCCCAAACUCCUACGGGAGGCAGCAGUGGGGAAUAUUGCACAAUGGGGGAAACCCUGAUGCAGCGACGCCGCGUGAGCGAAGAAGUAUUUCGGUAUGUAAAGCUCUAUCAGCAGGGAAGAAAAUGACGGUACCUGACUAAGAAGCACCGGCUAAAUACGUGCCAGCAGCCGCGGUAAUACGUAUGGUGCAAGCGUUAUCCGGAUUUACUGGGUGUAAAGGGAGCGUAGACGGUUGUGUAAGUCUGAUGUGAAAGCCCGGGGCUCAACCCCGGGACUGCAUUGGAAACUAUGUAACUAGAGUGUCGGAGAGGUAAGCGGAAUUCCUAGUGUAGCGGUGAAAUGCGUAGAUAUUAGGAGGAACACCAGUGGCGAAGGCGGCUUACUGGACGAUCACUGACGUUGAGGCUCGAAAGCGUGGGGAGCAAACAGGAUUAGAUACCCUGGUAGUCCACGCCGUAAACGAUGACUACUAGGUGUCGGGGAGCAAAGCUCUUCGGUGCCGCAGCAAACGCAAUAAGUAGUCCACUUGGGGAGUACGUUCGCAAGAAUGAAACUCAAAGG
rnacentral:rRNA from 1 species